rfam:Chlamydomonas reinhardtii strain CC-503 cw92 mt+ CHLREscaffold_3 genomic scaffold, whole genome shotgun sequence.
AACUCGGUGUUUCUUAACACCACCAUCAAACACAUGGGAUUGGGCU